CAGAAAGCGUCCCACAGGUUGUGUUUCUGUAAUCACAGGACGAAACAAGUCAGAUCAAGUCCUGCGCACUCUGUUUAUACUGUUUAUUAUUGUAAGGGUUGAGUCUUCAGGGUGUGUGUGUCUGUGUCUCAGCCCGUGUGUGUGUGUGUGUGUGUGUGACACUGUGUGUGUGUGUGUGUCUGUGUGUG